CCCUAUUGUGCAACGCCCUCUCUUCAACAGGUUGGGCCCAGGCCAGAGGUCUCUACCAGCAAAGAGGAUAAAAGAGACUACACCUGGACAAACCCUCCCAGGCCCAGGCCUGAGCCUCACAUGUGGCCCCGGGGAAGGCAUCAGGGACUCCCUUUGCCCUCCCACUGACCUCCCUGCAAACCUCCCCCAAACCAAGGGGCAUCCUCAGCUGGCCAGACCCUGGGGGAAGGGAGAGAGCCGAGGAUCACCGGCACCUGUGGCUGGGUUACCCCUGCCAUGGACCACUGGGUGAUCAAGAAGUCAUUCCAAAAUGUGAAGCGUUCUGAAGAUAUGCACAUAGCGUAAGAACCUGGUGUAAUGUGCUGGUCAAGGCGGUCUCAGAGAGGAGAUGACGUUUGAGCUGACACCUGAGGGAUGAGAAGAAAGCAGCCAUUCCCAGGGCCCAGGGGAGGCAUCCCAGGAAGCCGGAUCAGCAUGAGCAAAAGCCCUGAGGCCUGGCACAAGUUGGUCUGCUUGAGAAGCAGGAGAGAGCCCUGAGCAUCCGGAGUGCAGCAAGCGAGGUGCACAGAGGAGCAGGAAGGGGCUGGGAGAAGGCUGGGGCCGGAUCAUGCAGGACAGGCUGGAGGAAGGGGCUUGAAUUGUCUUCUGACCACUGAGGGGAUAUAAACAUGAGGGCAAAAUCAUCUGAUUUCCAUGUGCAAAGGCCCACUCUGGCUGCUCUAGAGAGAACAGAUGAUUGCAGGGUAAAAGUGGAUUUAGAGAGGUCAGAUGGAGGCUGGGUACGUGCCGUGUAUGGUAGAUAGCAUGCUACCAAAUACACUCACAGGUAGCCCUAUUAUCUCCAUUUCACAGAUGAGCAAGUCAAGAUGCAGAAGGACUCUCUGGCUUGUCCAAGGUCACACGGCUGUUAGGAGCAGAGCAGCGUCCUGGUGCCCAAGCCCUGAGGUCCCCAGCACACUGCCUCUGCAAUGGCCACAACUGUCCAAAGACUAAGCUGACUCUCACACCUGGUAGUGUCUGUGGUCAUUCACUGUGGAUGGAAGUGGAGAAAUGCAGAAAACAGAAACACAGCUUCCCCUUUUCUGUCAUAUUUCUGUAUCGUUGGUGUUUGGAGCCAGUUGAGCACAAAGGGCCCCUGAGUGCUGUUUCCUUGUGAUAUUUGGGGGUUAACAGCUUCCCCUCAUCUCUUAAUUACCUGCCCUCCUUCACUUCAGCUGCACAUUCGUUAAAGAAUGCUCUCCCAGGAGAAGAGCUUGGUGUUAUCACCCACAAACAUCUUAGAAAACUAAUGCUAUCCUUGAGUGCCUGUUUACAGAAACAUUUUUACAUCUCACUUGACAUUUCCAGCAAAUCUUGAUCCUUCCAGCCAGGAAUAUUAAUAUAUAGGUCUUGAAAAGUGCAAGAGGCUCUUCCAUGGCUCCAAGCACAUUUGACACUCUUCCUUUUCUGAUCCCCAAGCAGACAGUGAUGAAACCCCAAUAGCUGGGCGAAUACUCAUCCAACAGGAAGAAUCAGUUUUAAGAGCUGGGUUCUCAGGGUCAAAUACUGUGGUGUGGCCUUUUGGUUGUAAUGAGUUGAAUGGAGGUCUCAAAAAAGAUAUAUCCAUGUUCUAAUCCCCAGAACUUGUGAAUGUGACCUUAUUUGGAAAAAGAGUCCUUUUGGAUGUAAUUAAGUUAAGGAUUUUGAGAUAAGGAGAUCAUCCUGGGUUAUCUGGGUGGACCCUAAAUCUGUUGACAAUGUCCUUAUGAGAGACCCCAGAGGGCACAGACAGGAAAGGAAGAGGCAAUGUGGCCCCAGAGGCUGAGAUCAGAGCUCUGUGGCCACAAUUCGAGGAACACCUGGAGCCACCAGAAGCUGGAGGAGGCAAGGAACAGAUUCUCCCUGAUCCUCUGGAUACAGAGGGAGAAUAGCCUGGCCGACACCUUGAUUUUGGACUUCUGGCCCCCAGAACUGAGAAAAUUAACUUCUGUUGUGUUAAGCAGCCACGUUUGUAGCAGUUCAUCAUAGCAGCCCUGGGAAAGAAAUACAGUGGGCUUCCAGUUCAAGGAGGAUCCACGAGGCCUGAGCUCCAUCUGUCGAUUGGAAUCACCAAAAUCAAGGUUGUGUGCGGGUAACGCCAGCACAAGCAGCUCAUGCUGGCAAAAGCAGACCAAACCGGCUCACGCAACGUCAAGUCAUCUUGAAGUGGUUCACGCACCACAGUGAGUGGUAUUGAUUGUGGUUAAGAGCCAGGUUCAAGGAGGUUUAUCACUCAGUAGCCAGGUAAAGCAGGUUCCAGGCCUGGCUCCACCACUCAACAACCGGGGAAACAGGGGAGCAGACCUGCAGAGGGGCCAGAAGACACCUGGCCGGGUGGGGAGCAGCCCCUCCGUAAUAACAAUCGGAACCUGGGAAGAUAAGUAGAGUCCCAGGGGAGGGACAGAGUUUCCCCUGUGUCACCACAUGGCUACUUUGACACAAAUGCACGUGGGCAGAGAGAGGCAUGCAGGUCAAGGGCCUGGCAGGGAGUCAGGGGCCCUCAGUGCCAGUCCUGGCUCUGCCUCUGCCUCUGACACGCCAUGUGACCUUGAGCAAGUCACCACCCUGUCUGGGCUUCGCUAACCCAUAUACGGAAUGAGAAGGCGGCAAAACUGAAUCCCAGAGAGAAGACUCACUCAGACACAGCUAUCUGAACACUCUUUUCCAGUUCCCCUAGGGCAGCAGAGGAAGCAAGGUGGGGGGAAGCCAGUGGUCAAGGAUUCCAUGCGGAAUGUACCCUAGAAUUAACCCAUGGAGAGAGGGUAAGGGAACGGGCUCAGGCCUGGGAAGAAGUGGGGAGGACAGUGUCCUGUUGACCUAUUCAAAAACAUCCAGUUUUAGUUAAUUUUUAGUUCAUUAGUCACCACUUUUUAUUAGUAUCUCAUGUAUUCUUUCACAGUUUCUUUCUGCAGGUACAAAAAUAAUGAUUUUUUUUCUUUCUUUUUCUUCUUUGAGACAGGGUCUCGCUCUGUUGCCCAGGCUGUAGUACAAUGGUGCAAUCUCGGCUCACUGCAACCUCUGCCUCUGGGUUCAAGCGAUCCUUUGCCUCCGCCUCCUGAGUAGCUGGAAUUACAGGCAUGCACCAUGAUGCUUGGUUAAUUUUUGUAUUUUUAGUAGAGUCAGGGUUUUGCUAUGUUGGCCAGGCUGGGCUCCAACUUCUGGUCUCAAGUGAUCCACCCGCCUCGGGCUCCCAAAGUGCCAGGAUUACAGGCGUGAGCCACUAUGCCUGGCCAAAAGUGGCGAUGUGUUCUUAAUGCCCAUUUUCACAUAAAAGGUAAUAAUCUACCCACACCAUGCUGUACCUUGUUUGUUUUUUGUGUGUUUGUUUGUUUGUUUUUUGACAGAGUCUUGCUCUGUCAGCUAGGCUAGAGUGCAGUGGCACAAUCUCAGCGCGCUGCAACCUCCGCCUCCCGGGUUCAAGCGAUUAUCCUGCCUCAGCCUGCUGGGUAGUUGGAAUUACAGGAGCCUGCCACCAUGCCCAGCUAAUUUUUGUGCUUUUAAUAGAGAUGGGGUUUCACCAUGUUGGCCAGGCUGGUCUCGAACUCCUGACCUCAAGUGAUCCAUCCACCUUGGCCUCCCGAAGUGCUGGGAUUACAGGCGUGACCCACCGCGCCUGGCUCUUGUUUGUUUUUUUAACUAAUCACACAUCUUAGAGACCUUUAUCAGUAAUUAGAGAGCUUCCUGGAUCUUUUAUAUCACUGCAUAAUAAAUAUUCUAUUAUAUAGAUUAGAAUAAUUCAAAUUACCAGUUCCCUAUUGGUGGACAUUUGUUUCUGGUUUGUUUGUUUUUUCUAUUUUUUUUCUUAUCACAAACAGUGCUGCAAUAAGUAAUUGUGCAUAUGCACUGUUUCACAUGUGUGCAGGUAUACCUGCAGGAUAAAUUCCCAAAAAUGAAUUCCUGAUUUAAGAGUAUCUUUUUUUUUUUGAGACAGGGUCUUGAUCUGUUGCCCAGGCUAAAGUGCAGUGGCAUGAUCACGAUGCACUGCAGCCUCAGCCUCCUGGGCUCAAGCGAUCUUCCCACCUCAGCUUCCCAAGUAGCUGGGACUACAGGCAUGUGGCACCACGGCUGGUUAAUAUUCUCAGUGUAACAGAGUUUCAUCACAUUGCCCAGGCUGGUCUUGAACUCCUGGGCUCAAGCAAUCCUCCCACCUCAGCAUCCCAAAGUGCUGGGAUCACAGGCAUGUGCCACCAUGCCUGGCAGGUUGAAAGUACUGUAUGAGUUAUCUAUUGCUGCAUACCAGAUUAUCAUAAACUCAGCAGUUUAAAAAAACACCCAUUGUUUAGCUCACAGUCUCACCUGAACUGGGUGCUGAGUUCAGGGUGAAACCAAGGUGGCGGCCAGGCUUGGUUCUUUUUUGGAAGCUCUGGGGGGAAAAUCUACUUCCAAGGCCAUUCUUGUUGUUGGCAGAAUCUGGAUCCUUGUGGUUGUAGAACUGAGUCUCUGGUUUCUUGCAGGCUUCCAGGAGGGGCCUCCCUGGGCUCCCGGAGGACACCCACAGUCCUCACCAUGCAGCUCCCUCCAACAUCAAGCCAGGAAUGGCCGAACAGAUCUUUCUCAUGCUUCAAAUCUCUGAUGAAUUUCUCUUGCCAGAGAAAGCUUGCCAUUUUCCAAGGGCUCACCCAGUCAGAUCCGUCCAACAAGGGUGAUCUCCCUAACAUUAGGUUAACUGACUUGGAACCUCAGUUAAUCUGCAAAAUCCCUUUUGUCAUAUAAUGGAAUACAAUCAUUUGGUUCACAUGCUCAUCUUAUUCACAGGCCCUACACUCAUACAAGGGCAGGGGACCACAGAAGAGUGAAGGCCAGUGAGGGUCACCUCAGAAUUCUGCCCAACACCGGUGUUUUGUAAUUUGGGUAGAUGUUGCCAUGUUGUCCUCCGUGGGGAUUAUGCAGAGGGAACUCUCCUCCUCCAGCAACAGUACAUGUACCUGCUUUUCCAUGGUGCUGCUUAGAGAAUGUUAUCAAACCUUUGGAUUUCUGCCAGUCUGAUAGGAGAAAAAUGGAAUCUCAAUUGUAUUUUAAAAUUGUAAUUAUCGCCUUAUGAAUAAGGCUGAGCAUUUCCUCAAAAGCAUAAGAGCCAUUUAUAUACUUUUUUCUUUAUGGCUUCUGGUUUUGAGGCAUAGAAAGGUCUUUCUAGCUCUAAAGUUAAUCAGAAAUUCUCUGUUUUCUUUUUGCUUUUUUUAAAAUUUUACUUUAAGUCCUUGGAUACAUGUGCUGAACGUGCAGGUUUGUUACAUAGGUAUACAUGGGCCAUGGUGGUUUGCUGCACCUAUCAACCCGUCAUCUAGGUUUUAAGCUCCACAUGCAUUAGGUAUUUGUCCUAAUGCUCUUCCUCCUCUUUCCCCAUGCCCCCAACAGGCCCCGGUGUGUGAUGUUCCCCUCCCUGUGUCCAUGUGUUCUCAUUGUUUAGCUCCCACUUAUGAGUGAGAACAUGCAGUGUUUGGUUUUCUGUUCCUGUGUUAGUUUGCUGAGGAUGAUGGUUUUCAGCUUCAUCCAGGUCCCUGCAAAGGACAUGAACUCAUUCUUUUUUAUGGCUGCAUAGUAUUCCAAGUUGCAUAUGUGCCACAUUUUCUUUAUCCAGUGUAUCAUUGAUGGGCUUUUGGGUUGCUUCCAAGUCUUUGCUAUCGUAAGUAGUGCUGCAAUAAACAAAUGUAUGCAUGUGUCUUUAUAGUAGAAUGAUUUAUAAUCCUUUGGGUAUAUACCCAGUAAUGGGAUUGCUGGGUCAAAUGGUAUUUCUAGUUCUAGAUCCUCGAGGAGUCGCCACACUGUCUUCCACAAUGGUUGAGCUAAUUUACACUCCCACCAACAGUGUAAACGUGUUCCUAUUUCUCCACAUCCUCACCAGCAUUUGUUAUUUCCAGACUUUUUAAUGAUUGCCAUUCUAACUGGCAUGAGAUGGUAUCUCCUUGUGGUUUUGAUUUGCAUUUCUCAGCUCAUUGCAACCUCUGCCUCCCAGGUUCAAGCAAUUCUCCUGCCUCAGCCUCCAGAGUAGCUGGGAUUACAGGGGCACGCCACCAAGCCCAGCUAAUUUUUGUAUUUUUAGCAGAAACAGGGCUUCACCAUGUUGGCCAGUCUGGUCUCAAACUCCUGAUCUCAAGUGAUCCAUCCACCUCAGCCUCCCAAAGUGCUGGGAUUAUAGGCGUGAGCCACCACGGCUGGCCAUUCUCCUGUGUUUUCUUCUGGGGCUUUUAUACUUUCAUUUUUUAAAAUCCAUAGUUUCUUGGAGCUGGAGGUGUCCCUUGUCAUUUUCUCAUCAGUGAGUGCAAAGCAGGAUCCCAAAAGGAUUGGAGUCCAGAGUAGAGAAAGGAGCUGCCGCGGUGGAGUCUGUUCAGUGCAGGCUCUGAUCUCCUUCAGCCCUGCCAGGAAUCCCAGCCAGCAGAUCUUCUUCCAGCUUCCCUUUCUCCAGCACUCUUGAUCUUCUGGGCUGGCACAGGGUCCAGGGUUGAUGGGGAUCCUAGCUGCCUGAGGAGCUUCCAGUCUGGAGGGUGAUACAAGCACAUGGCCAGACCUGAAUUCAAGCCAUGAGAGAGAUUCAGAACCUGGGCUGGGAGCGCAGGGGAGGGAGCGGGGUGCUGAUGGGGGUGGAUGGGAGGCUCCAGAGAGGAGGUGGCGUCUGAACUGAACCUUAAGAAUGAGGGGAAAUGUAAUGGCAGCGAUGAGAAAGGGGAGGCACUUCAGUGCAGAGAACAGCAAGAGCAAAGACAAGGAGGUGGAAAAUCAGCCAGAAACCUAGCCUGGAGAGGGUUUAGUGGACCAUGGGUCCUUGAUGGUAGAGACACAACAUGACUUAUCUCUGUGUCCCAUCCUCUGUGCCAGAGGCGGCAUCGACCAGACUUGGACAAAUGAAGCAGAAGGGACAGGGGACUUAGAAUACUAGGCUGCAUCAUUUUCUUUUUACUCUGACAGUGAGAAGCAAAGACCUCCACAAAGAAAGAAGCCCUUGGCUGUGUCAUCAUUUUAGAAUCUGGGCACUCUCUGCACACCACUGCCCCCUCAUGGCUGAUCUAGGAAUUCUCUCUAAAUCCCAGACUGAAGGUGAGGAGGAGGCUCAGUGAGUCUUAGAGAUUUGAAAAGCCGUGAAAUCCUGGUUGGAGAACAUCUGAGUCCAAAGGGCCCUCAGAGACUCUCUGACUUCCUCAUUA
rnacentral:lncRNA from 1 species